rnacentral:rRNA from 1 species
UUAGCAUAUCAAUAAGCGGAGGAAAAGAAACCAACCGGGAUUACCUCAGUAACGGCGAGUGAAGCGGUAAUAGCUCAAAUUUGAAAUCUGGCUUCGGUCCGAGUUGUAAUUUGUAGAAGAUGCUUCGGGUGUGGCUCCGGUCUAAGUUCCUUGGAACAGGACGUCAUAGAGGGUGAGAAUCCCGUAUGUGACUGGGUGCCUUCGCCUAUGUGAAGCUCUUUCGACGAGUCGAGUUGUUUGGGAAUGCAGCUCAAAAUGGGUGGUAUAUUUCAUCUAAAGCUAAAUAUUGGCCAGAGACCGAUAGCGCACAAGUAGAGUGAUCGAAAGAUGAAAAGCACUUUGGAAAGAGAGUUAAACAGUACGUGAAAUUGUUGAAAGGGAAGCGUUUGCAAUCAGACUUGCACGUUGCCGAUCAUCUGGUGUUCUCACCAGUGCACUCGGUUUCGUUCAGGCCAGCAUCGGUUUGGGUGGUUGGAUAAAGGCCUUGGGAAUGUGGCUCCUUUCGGGGAGUGUUAUAGCCCUCGGUGCAAUGCAGCCUACCUGGACCGAGGACCGCGCUUCGGCUAGGAUGCUGGCGUAAUGAUUGUAAACGACCCGUCUUGAAACACGGACCAAGGAGUCUAACAUCUAUGCGAGUAUUUGGGUGUUAAACCCAUAUGCGUAAUUAACGUGAACGGAGGUAAGAGCCCUUAAGGGUGCAUUAUCGACCGGUCCUGAUGUCUUCGGAAGGAUCUGAGUAAGAGCAUAGCUGUUGGGACCCGAAAGAUGGUGAACUAUGCCUGAAUAGGGUGAAGCCAGAGGAAACUCUGGUGGAGGCUCGCAGCGGUUCUGACGUGCAAAUCGAUCGUCAAAUUUGGGUAUAGGGGCGAAAGACUAAUCGAACCAUCUAGUAGCUGGUUCCUGCCGAAGUCUCCC